rnacentral:lncRNA from 1 species
AAUCAAAGACACAGAGAGAGAGAGAGCAACAAUGCUCCCAAAAUCCCAGCAGCCAACACCAACGAAACGGAAAAGUUUUUAAUUUCUGUUUGGCUGAUUCCAGUUGGCUUUUUGCUGCCAUCACAAGCCACUCUCCAACCGCUGAGCCGCCGGCUUCCACCCUUCAAAGGUAAAAUUUUUAAUUCCUAAAUGUAUAAUCCCUAACCCUAAUUAAUUAUUUAAUACGAAUUUCGUUUAAUUGGUAUAUAAUCAUAUGGAAAUGUACUAAUAUGGUUAUUGAUUAUUGAUGAAUCAUAUGCUUCUAUGAUUAUUAAUAUGAAAUUAUUUUUUAGGGUGAAAAUUAAUAUUUGAAUUCUUGAUGAUUAGUUGUAACUUGUAUUCAUAUGAUUAGUUGAACUGAAUUUUUAUUUAUUGAAUAAUUUGUAUGCGUAUUGGUAUUGAUUAAUUCAAUUGUUGGUUAGAUUAGUUAUUAUGCAUAUUAUCGUAUAGUCUACUCUAGAAAGUAGUCUCAUGCGUCCAUGUGAUACAUGGUGGAACUCGCAUUAUGGUACUAUAGUUAGUAUUAUUGUUAUGUUUGAAGCUGUGGUGGAGGUGGUUGAAUGGAUUAAAAGUGAUCGCAACCAAGAUAAUCUCGGUGAAGCAAUUAGGUUAUUCAAAGACAUACAAACUUUUGAUUUUGCGUUUCACCUUUUAUUGAUGAGACUUAUAUUGGGAAUUACAAAUGACAUAUCACAAGCAUUGCAAAAGAAAGAUCAAGAUAUUGUGAAUGCAAUGGCGUUAAUGGAAGUAUGCAAGCAAAUACUACAAUCCUUGAUGACUUUGGGUGACACACCCCGACCUAGAAUGUCCAUUAGGAAUCCGAAUCGAGCUGUGAUGGCCGACACCUGGAAGGUGACGAAGCCAUAAAGUAUAGUGAUGUGGAAAAUGUGAAUAAAUUUAAACCUAAAAGUGCUUAAAGACAAGAGUGCGCUGUGAGCAGGAAUGAACCCAUUUCACACUCGAUGACAGAGCAUAAGUAAGUACAGUAGUGUGGAUAUGGAUCAUACCCUCAAAGGUAGCCACCUAUACUGAGAUUCACCAAGAAUCCUUGUCGAUACGAACUUUCAGCAACUAAAACCUAUAGGGGUGAAAAACAAGGGCGAGAGCAAUCCCAUGAUGGGUGACCCACUGGGAAGUUCUUGUGUGAAUUCCCAGAAAUAAAACCGUGAGGGCGUGGUCGAGGCCCAAAGCAGACAUUAUCGUGCUAUGGCGGAGUCGAGCCCGAGAUGUGGUGAGGGCUCGAGCCCGGGCCUUGUGACAUUGGGGACAUGUUUCAUAAUGUAGAAAAGUUUUGUGAGGAGUAUGAUAUUAUCGUUUCUAACAUGGAGGAUUUGUAUUUCAUAUCUGGAAAAUCAAGGCGUAAAGCUCCAAAAAUCACAAACUUCCAUAACUAUCGUGUGAACCUCUAUUUUCGAGUCCUUGAUAUGCAACUAAAGGAAUUGAAUGAUCACUUCAAUGAGGUAAACACCGAGUUGCUUCUUUCUAUGACAUGUUUGAGUCCAGUGAAUAAUUUUGCAUCUUUUGAGAAAGCAAAAAUUGUUCGUUUAGCCCAACUUUAUCCUCAAGAUUUUGAUCGUAUGGACCUCAUGAAUCUUCCAAUUUAACUUGACAAUUACAUUCAUGAUAUGAAGAUGCAUAGUGAGUUUUCUUCAUUGAGAGGAAUUAGUGAUCUUGCAAAAGAGUUAGUGAAGAUCGGGAGGGGUGAAAGCUAUAUGUUAGUGUAUAAGCUUCUUACAUUGGCUUUGGUGUUACCGGUUGCAACCGCUUAGGUGGAGAGAGCUUUUUUUGCUAUGAAGAUUGUGAAAACACCAUUGUGUAACAAAAUGGGAGAUCAAUGAUUGAGUGAUAGCAUGAUUGUUUAUAUUGAGAAAGAUGUAUUUGUUUUUAUUGAUAAUGAGCCUAUUAUGUGACGUUUUCAUGACUUGAAAUCUCGCCGGCAACAAUUGUAAUUUAUUUAUAUUGAUUAAUUAUGGAAGACAUUACUAUAUAAAAAAAUUUAGUUGUUACCAUUUUUCUUUAACCUUGCACUCUUUUAAGUUCGUCCCUCCCGAGAAAUCCUAACUUCGCCGCUUGGUUCGAUGGCCAACUUUUCGUCACAAAUUGAUUCUCGCAUGCCAUCUCUGCAACAUGAUAAACAAUUGGAAACUUGAGCUCAGUCUAUAUCAAACUUCAAAAUCUCUUUGAACAAGUCCAAAAUGCCGGUACGUAGAGUUAGUUAAGUAUUAUGAAAUGUGGAUUCCAGUUUUAAGUUCCAUGGCAGUGUCUCUCUGUUGCAAGCUGCAAAUCAUCAGUUGCUUUCAUAAUCUGCCUAAUUCCUAGCCAAACUCUGAUGCGCCCGUCUCCCGUGUUAUGGUGCCUUGUAAAGCUGAGACUGUGCCCUUAAAUGUAACUUAGAACGCAAGUUAUGUCAUUAGUGGACCGGCCUACCAGGGAGGACGAUUUGGCCGUUGAGAUCGAAAACCCGACCGGCGAGGGAGAAGUUGCAAAGGCUGACCGACGGCCCUGAUUGCAUCUCGCUCGAUGACGAUCCGGCCGUUGCGGAAGACGCGGCGGUCGGAAUCCACGGUGACGAUGUUGGCAUUGUGAAGUAUAGUCAUUGCUGCUGACGGUGAGUUCGUCGGAGCCGGCAUUGGUUUGUCAAUCUUCUCCGCCGUCGCUUUUGAAUUCGUUGAAUCUGAUCAGUAAUCUGAAAACUUGCACCUUUUCUUCCAGACUGCUGAAAACUGAAAGGGAUAGGAUAAGGAUUACAUUAUUUUAUUUUUCUCGAUAAGCACGUUUUUUAAUCGAUUUAUUUUUUAUUGAAUUCGAUGUCACGGCUGUUAACUUGUUGCUGGUUGGCGGGGUUUUCAGUUGGAUGAUGUCACUGUCACGUCAUUGAUCGUCUGUGCGUUUAGUUGGGCUACUCGUCUGUUCGGCCCUUAUUUCAGUUGGAUGAUGUCACUGUCACGUCAUUAUUAUUCAUGAAAUUGCAUCUUUUCAUUUGAGGCUAACACUUUUGCUUACGCUAGUUUGCAUGCAUUAGAUAUGCUCCAAGCAUAAGCAUAUACUGAUAUUUGUUCGUGGCAGGAAUUUUCGUUGGGGAUGUUUUCUGGCCGACGAGCAUACAGCUCCCUUGGAGGUUGGCGCCGGUUGAGGGCUGCUGUCGGGCUUCUGCUUCGUUUCUGGGCGUUGUCGGGCAAGUCUCGUCGGGCAAGACUCUUCGGGCAAGGCUCUUCGGGCAAGGCUGAAAGAGAAGGACAACGUUAACUUUGAGAGGUGCCUUUGUGGGGCCUUAGGUAUAGGCCUUGAGGCUCACAAUCAAGGUUAACAUUUAGGUGCUCAGGCGUGCCACUGUCAUCUUUAGCAUGGCAGAUGUAAAAUGGUUGUCGUUCUUUCAUUGUAUAUAUGUAUGUAUCCAAGAAACCGUGUUAGUUAUAAUAGGUGCCUUUGUGGGGCCUUAACUGUAGGCCUUGAGGCUUCCCAUCAAUAACUAAACCAGUGCUCGAACGCAUCAUAUUUAUUCUCGUGAUUGUAGGAGUUUUCUAACUAUUAUAUUUCUGAUUACCCGAAUCCAAGGAAUAGAACGAACCCAAAUGGGUGCCUUUGUGGGGCCUUAGGUGUAGGCCUUGAGGCUUCCCAUCAGAGUUCAUUCUUAUACUUAGACUCUUGAGAUCGCCGAAUGGGAUGAAUCCAAAUGGAUGCCUUUGUAGGGCCUUAGAUGUAGGCCUUGAGGCUUCCAUUAGAGUCCAUCCCAUGCUUAAGCGUUCUAUGAUAAUCAUGAUAUAAUAUAAAGAAAACUAGAAGGUAGGUCGAUUACUUGC